rnacentral:rRNA from 1 species
AUACGGAGGAUGCGAGCGUUAUCCGGAUUUAUUGGGUUUAAAGGGUGCGUAGGCGGGCUGUUAAGCGUGAGGUGAAAGCUCGGGGCUCAACCCCGGAACUGCCUCGCGAACUGGCGGUCUUGAAUGUCCGUGCCGUGGGGGGAAUGUGGGGGGUGGCGGUGUAAUGCAUAGAGAUCACACAGAACACCGAUUGCGAAGGCAUCUCACGAAGGGGUUAUUGACGCUGAGGCACGAAAGCGUGGGGAUCAAACAGGAUUAGAUACCCUGGUAGUCCACGCAGUAAACGAUGAUAACUAACCGCUGGGGUGUAAAUUUCAGUGGCCAAGCGAAAGCGAUAAGUUAUCCACCUGGGGAGUACGACCGCAAGGUUGAAACUCAAAUGAAUUGGCGGAG